rnacentral:rRNA from 1 species
GAUGAACGCUGGCGGCGUGCUUAACACAUGCAAGUCGAACGAUGAGGCCCAGCUUUCUGGGUGCAUUAGUGGCGAACGGGUGAGUAACAAGUAAGUAGCCAGCCCUUAACUCUGGGAUAGGCCAGUGAGACAGGGUGUAAUACCGGAUAGAAGAGUUCACCGCAUGCUGGGUGUUGUAAUGAAUGAUCGGUUUUAGGUGGAUUCGCGGCCUAUCAGCUUGUUGGUGAGGUAUUGGCUCACGAACGCGACGACGGGUAGCCGGCCCGAGAGCGUGACCGGCCACACUGGGACUGAGACACGGACCAGACGCCUACGUGCGGCAGCAGGGGGGAGUCUUGCGCAACGGCCGCACGUCUGAUGUAGCGGCGCCGCGUGCGUGAUGCCGGCCUACGGGUUGUAAACCUCUUUCAGUAUGGAAGUAGCGAUAUUGACGGUACCUGCAGAAAAAGCAACGGCUAACUACGUG